rnacentral:rRNA from 1 species
UAUGGCGACCGGCGCACGGAUGAGUAACACGUAUCCAACCUGCCGAUGACUCGGGGAUAGCCUUUCGAAAGAAAGAUUAAUACCCGAUGGCAUAGUUCUUCCGCAUGGUGGAACUAUUAAAGAAUUUCGGUCAUCGAUGGGGAUGCGUUCCAUUAGGUUGUUGGCGGGGUAACGGCCCACCAAGCCUUCGAUGGAUAGGGGUUCUGAGAGGAAGGUCCCCCACAUUGGAACUGAGACACGGUCCAAACUCCUACGGGAGGCAGCAUG